AAGAUUUUAAGUUAAAUUUAAACUUUUAAUCUUCAAAAUUAAAAAUAAAAAUUAUUUUUUAAAUCUUA
rnacentral:tRNA from 3 species